ensembl:rRNA 5S_rRNA 5S ribosomal RNA
ACCUACAGCCAUACCAGCCUGAAUGCACCCAAACCUUUCGGUCUCUGAAGUUAGGCAAGGUCUGGCCUCUGCAGUACAUACAACACAGGAACUUUGUGAA